rnacentral:rRNA from 1 species
GGGUUGUGAGGUUAAGCGACUAAGCGUACACGGUGGAUGCCCUGGCAGUCAGAGGCGAUGAAGGACGUGCUAAUCUGCGAUAAGCGUCGGUAAGGUGAUAUGAACCGUUAUAACCGGCGAUUUCCGAAUGGGGAAACCCAGUGUGAUUCGUCACACUAUCAUUAACUGAAUCCAUAGGUUAAUGAGGCGAACCGGGGGAACUGAAACAUCUAAGUACCCCGAGGAAAAGAAAUCAACCGAGAUUCCCCCAGUAGCGGCGAGCGAACGGGGAGCAGCCCAGAGCCUGAAUCAGUGUGUGUGUUAGUGGAAGCGUCUGGAAAGGCGUGCGAUACAGGGUGACAGCCCCGUACACAAAAAUGCACAUAUUGUGAGCUCGAUGAGUAGGGCGGGACACGUGGUAUCCUGUCUGAAUAUGGGGGGACCAUCCUCCAAGGCUAAAUACUCCUGACUGACCGAUAGUGAACCAGUACCGUGAGGGAAAGGCGAAAAGAACCCCGGCGAGGGGAGUGAAAAAGAACCUGAAACCGUGUACGUACAAGCAGUGGGAGCACGCUUAGGCGUGUGACUGCGUACCUUUUGUAUAAUGGGUCAGCGACUUAUAUUCUGUAGCAAGGUUAACCGAAUAGGGGAGCCGAAGGGAAACCGAGUCUUAACUGGGCGUUAAGUUGCAGGGUAUAGACCCGAAACCCGGUGAUCUAGCCAUGGGCAGGUUGAAGGUUGGGUAACACUAACUGGAGGACCGAACCGACUAAUGUUGAAAAAUUAGCGGAUGACUUGUGGCUGGGGGUGAAAGGCCAAUCAAACCGGGAGAUAGCUGGUUCUCCCCGAAAGCUAUUUAGGUAGCGCCUCGUGAAUUCAUCUCCGGGGGUAGAGCACUGUUUCGGCAAGGGGGUCAUCCCGACUUACCAACCCGAUGCAAACUGCGAAUACCGGAGAAUGUUAUCACGGGAGACACACGGCGGGUGCUAACGUCCGUCGUGAAGAGGGAAACAACCCAGACCGCCAGCUAAGGUCCCAAAGUCAUGGUUAAGUGGGAAACGAUGUGGGAAGGCCCAGACAGCCAGGAUGUUGGCUUAGAAGCAGCCAUCAUUUAAAGAAAGCGUAAUAGCUCACUGGUCGAGUCGGCCUGCGCGGAAGAUGUAACGGGGCUAAACCAUGCACCGAAGCUGCGGCAGCGACACUGUGUGUUGUUGGGUAGGGGAGCGUUCUGUAAGCCUGCGAAGGUGUGCUGUGAGGCAUGCUGGAGGUAUCAGAAGUGCGAAUGCUGACAUAAGUAACGAUAAAGCGGGUGAAAAGCCCGCUCGCCGGAAGACCAAGGGUUCCUGUCCAACGUUAAUCGGGGCAGGGUGAGUCGACCCCUAAGGCGAGGCCGAAAGGCGUAGUCGAUGGGAAACAGGUUAAUAUUCCUGUACUUGGUGUUACUGCGAAGGGGGGACGGAGAAGGCUAUGUUGGCCGGGCGACGGUUGUCCCGGUUUAAGCGUGUAGGCUGGUUUUCCAGGCAAAUCCGGAAAAUCAAGGCUGAGGCGUGAUGACGAGGCACUACGGUGCUGAAGCAACAAAUGCCCUGCUUCCAGGAAAAGCCUCUAAGCAUCAGGUAACAUCAAAUCGUACCCCAAACCGACACAGGUGGUCAGGUAGAGAAUACCAAGGCGCUUGAGAGAACUCGGGUGAAGGAACUAGGCAAAAUGGUGCCGUAACUUCGGGAGAAGGCACGCUGAUAUGUAGGUGAAGUCCCUCGCGGAUGGAGCUGAAAUCAGUCGAAGAUACCAGCUGGCUGCAACUGUUUAUUAAAAACACAGCACUGUGCAAACACGAAAGUGGACGUAUACGGUGUGACGCCUGCCCGGUGCCGGAAGGUUAAUUGAUGGGGUCAGCGCAAGCGAAGCUCUUGAUCGAAGCCCCGGUAAACGGCGGCCGUAACUAUAACGGUCCUAAGGUAGCGAAAUUCCUUGUCGGGUAAGUUCCGACCUGCACGAAUGGCGUAAUGAUGGCCAGGCUGUCUCCACCCGAGACUCAGUGAAAUUGAACUCGCUGUGAAGAUGCAGUGUACCCGCGGCAAGACGGAAAGACCCCGUGAACCUUUACUAUAGCUUGACACUGAACAUUGAGCCUUGAUGUGUAGGAUAGGUGGGAGGCUUUGAAGUGUGGACGCCAGUCUGCAUGGAGCCGACCUUGAAAUACCACCCUUUAAUGUUUGAUGUUCUAACGUGGACCCGUAAUCCGGGUUGCGGACAGUGUCUGGUGGGUAGUUUGACUGGGGCGGUCUCCUCCUAAAGAGUAACGGAGGAGCACGAAGGUUGGCUAAUCCUGGUCGGACAUCAGGAGGUUAGUGCAAUGGCAUAAGCCAGCUUGACUGCGAGCGUGACGGCGCGAGCAGGUGCGAAAGCAGGUCAUAGUGAUCCGGUGGUUCUGAAUGGAAGGGCCAUCGCUCAACGGAUAAAAGGUACUCCGGGGAUAACAGGCUGAUACCGCCCAAGAGUUCAUAUCGACGGCGGUGUUUGGCACCUCGAUGUCGGCUCAUCACAUCCUGGGGCUGAAGUAGGUCCCAAGGGUAUGGCUGUUCGCCAUUUAAAGUGGUACGCGAGCUGGGUUUAGAACGUCGUGAGACAGUUCGGUCCCUAUCUGCCGUGGGCGCUGGAGAACUGAGGGGGGCUGCUCCUAGUACGAGAGGACCGGAGUGGACGCAUCACUGGUGUUCGGGUUGUCAUGCCAAUGGCACUGCCCGGUAGCUAAAUGCGGAAGAGAUAAGUGCUGAAAGCAUCUAAGCACGAAACUUGCCCCGAGAUGAGUUCUCCCUGACUCCUUGAGAGUCCUGAAGGAACGUUGAAGACGACGACGUUGAUAGGCCGGGUGUGUAAGCGCAGCGAUGCGUUGAGCUAACCGGUACUAAUGAACCGUGAGGCUUAACCUUACAACGCCGAAGGUGUUU